CGUGCCCGGAGGGGCGGCGGCCGCGUGAGCAGGGAGCCGCGCGCCGGGUAGUGGGGACCACCGGGUGGAGCCCGGGACAGCUGUGAGUCCGCUCGAGCGGCUUUCCUUCCUCCACCGCCUCCUCCUCUCGCUCUCCGCGGGCCUCACGGUGGGGCUGCCGCGGCGACGGCGACUGAAGUCCAGGCGCCGUUAUCUGUAGCCUCCUGGCGACCGUGACAAGCAGGCGCGUGAGUUUCCUGGGCACCAGGAGGCCUUGGGAGGAGACACUUCACUCCUUUCCCGCAACCCAGAGAAGCAGGGACUUGGUCUCAGCCUUUCUCGCAGCUCUGAGAGGUGCUGUUACGUCCAGUUGCACCUCCCCACCGCCCUUGGAGAGGAACUUCCAGGCUGUUUUCCGAAGUGGCUGCACCAUUUAAAAUUCCCAUCUAAUGUAGAGUGCCCCGCCUCCUGCAGGUAACAAAGGAUCAGGGCGUUCUCUGUGAAAUAACUGCAGAAUAUGAACUGAUGCUGCUGGCAUUUCCCUUGGAGUUUUACUGCAGCUGUCAGUAUUCCGAAUUCCGGAUGACUCGGUUACUUACAAGAUUGGAUUUCUUAUCCUGCAAAGCUGAGGUGAAGGCCAGACCCUAGAAAAACAGAAAAUUCAUCAAGGCUCAGUUCAAGAACCACCCCCUCCAAGUUGUCUUCCUGGAUUUAUUCAGCCCAAAGUUAUCCUUGUCUUUCCUGGGACAUGUCAGCAUUCUGGACAGAAGAAACCAACAAGCAAUGGAGAGGCCACAUCAAGCAGCUAGAAUCUCUGCAGCCCAGUGUUCUGUUUGAUGGGCUUCUAGGGGCUGUUCAAAGGGAGAUACCAGCAGCCUGGAAAUUCCAAAUGGAAGGCAAUGAUCAUGGGCAGUUGAUGCCUUCUCCAGGGUGGUGACAGUGGUGUUUUUGCCAGAGCAGCACCAACGGAUCCCUCAAGACUUUGUUAUGGAUUUUGUCUCUGGGAACACAGACUCUGCUUUUCAAGAUGAUUCUCUCUCUACCAUUGUGUUGGUUCCUCCUCCUGGGCUCAGCAGCCUGGAAAUAGAAACAGCAGUGGUGGCUGAUUGUCUUGAUCCAGACUUGGAAGUUGUGUGGCAGAUUGCAUCAUUCACUGCUUUGCCUUCUUGGAUGACUCAGAACAUAAUAUAACCUUGUUUUGUGACUCAGAGAGGCCAUUAUGACCAUCUGCUUUUGCCUUGGACCUCUGAGGCAUGUAGGAAUAUGUCUUUCUCUAUUAAAUGGAUUUCUUUGCUUUUGAAAUUCUAUCUCCUUCAACUUCCAGCUUUACUCUUUUUGGUGUCAGAGGCUGAGAUCAGUGUAUUCUAGGUUCUUCUAAUGUGCAGUUGUUUGACCAAAGAUUGACUCCGUGCAUCUCCUGUGAAGUUCAUGAGUUUUGUGAUAGCAAUUUUACAUGCUGUUUAUAGAUGCUUUUUUCAUCUUCUAGGUUUGUGAUUAUAUUAUGGCAGAAGUUAUGAGAAAUCUGAUCUCCAGAGAAGUGUUGGUGCUUCUGUAAUUUGUUAUAAACUAUUUUUGGCAAGCUAGUUCUCUAGCAUUGAAGAAUUUAAUGAAUAAGUUUGUAUUCACUUUAUCCACAAUCAUUUUUUUUAUUGUGGUCAUAAUAGCUUAUCACAUA